rnacentral:rRNA from 1 species
UGUACGGAGAGUUUGAUCCUGGCUCAGAACGAACGCUGGCGGCGUACUUAACACAUGCAAGUCGAACGAGAAAAGACAUUUCGGUGUCUGAGUAAAGUGGCGAACGGGUGCGUAACACGUAAGUAAUCUGCCUUGGGCACUGGGAUAACUUCUCGAAAGGGGAGCUAAGACCGGAUAGUGUCCCCGAAGCUUAAGUUGCGGGGGGAAAACGGGCCUCUGAUUCAAGCUCGUGGCUCAAGAUGAGCUUGCGGCCCAUUAGCUUGUUGGCAGGGUAAAAGCCUACCAAGGCGACGAUGGGUAGCUGGUCUGAGAGGAUGAUCAGCCACACUGGCACUGAGACACGGGCCAGACUCCUACGGGAGGCAGCAGUGGGGAAUUUUGCGCAAUGGGCGAAAGCCUGACGCAGUAACGCCGCGUGGAGGAUGAAGGCC